AUACGGAGGAUCCGAGCGUUAUCCGGAUUUAUUGGGUUUAAAGGGUGCGCAGGCGGCCAUUUAAGUCAGCGGUUAAAUCGUGGGGCUCAACCCCAUUCUGCCGUUGAUACUGGGUGGCUUGAUUGCGGUCGAGGUUGGCGGAAUUCGUUGUGUAGCGGUGGAAUGCAUAGAUAUGACGAAGAACACCGAUUGCGUAGGCAGCUGACCAGUACGCAAAUGAAGCACAUGCACGAAAGAGCGGGGAUCUAACAGGAGUAGAUACCUUGGGAGUCCGCAAAGUAAACGACGAAUACUUGUUUUCGGCGAUAUAAUGUCGGAGGCAAAGCGAAAGCUAUUAGUAUUCCACCAGGGGAGUACGCCGGCAACGGUGAAACUCAAAUGAAUUGUCGGGG
rnacentral:rRNA from 1 species